GACGGAGGAUGCAAGCGUUAUCCGGAAUUAUUGGGCGUAAAGCGUCCGCAGGUGGCUAGUCAAGUCUGCUGUUAAAGCGUGCAGCUCAACUGCAUAACGGCGGUGGAAACUGAUUAGCUAGAGUAUGGUAGGGGUAGAGGGAAUUCCCGGAGUAGCGGUGAAAUGCGUAGAUAUCGGGAAGAACACCAGUGGCGAAAGCGCUCUACUGGGCCAAAACUGACACUGAGGGACGAAAGCUAGGGGAGCGAAAGGG
rnacentral:rRNA from 1 species